AGUAGUGCAAAAGCUUCUCGCGAAUACGCCUGAAUGUUUCAAAAAACUUUCGCAGGAUCCUCGAACUUGGGCCAUUUGUUGAUGAAUGCAACCAACUCCACCAGCGACAGCAAACCAGGGAUGAAGGUUUCGUGGAUCAAAGGCGUAGCGCAAACUUUUUCAAGGGACUAGGAAAUGAUAUAUAUUAUAUUCAAUUUUUAAAGCUAGCUUCAAAUUAAUAAUACUUGCCAAAUUAAGACUACCAUA